rnacentral:rRNA from 1 species
AUUGAACGCUGGCGGCAUGCCUUACACAUGCAAGUCGAACGGCAGCACGGGAGCAAUCCUGGUGGCGAGUGGCGAACGGGUGAGUAAUACAUCGGAACGUGCCCAGUAGUGGGGGAUAGCCCGGCGAAAGCCGGAUUAAUACCGCAUACGACCUACGGGUGAAAGCGGGGGAUCGCAAGACCUCGCGCUAUUGGAGCGGCCGAUGUCAGAUUAGCUAGUUGGUGGGGUAAAAGCCUACCAAGGCGACGAUCUGUAGCUGGUCUGAGAGGACGACCAGCCACACUGGGACUGAGACACGGCCCAGACUCCUACGGGAGGCAGCAGUGGGGAAUUUUGGACAAUGGGCGCAAGCCUGAUCCAGCCAUGCCGCGUGCGGGAAGAAGGCCUUCGGGUUGUAAACCGCUUUUGUCAGGGAAGAAACGUUUCGAGCUAAUAUCUCGAAGUAAUGACGGUACCUGAAGAAUAAGCACCGGCUAACUACGUGCCAGCCGCCGCAGUAA